AUCCUUUUGUAGUUCAUAAGUGUGACGAUUGGGUUUUCACGCGCACGUGUGAGCUGUGCCUCCCCAAAUCUUGUUACAAUGUCAAUGUCAGCACGUUAUCCGUCUGACA